rnacentral:rRNA from 1 species
AGAGUUUGAUCCUGGCUCAGGAUGAACGCUAGCGGCAGGCCUAACACAUGCAAGUCGAGGGGUAGAGUUCUUCGGAACUUGAGACCGGCGCACGGGUGCGUAACGCGUAUGCAAUCUACCUUAUACUAAGGGAUAGCCCAGAGAAAUUUGGAUUAAUACCUUAUGGUUAAUAAAACCGGCAUCGGUUUAAUUAUAAAGAUUUAUUGGUAUAAGAUGAGCAUGCGUCCCAUUAGUUAGUUGGUAAGGUAACGGCUUACCAAGACGAUGAUGGGUAGGGGUCCUGAGAGGGAGAUCCCCCACACUGGUACUGAGACACGGACCAGACUCCUACGGGAGGCAGCAGUGAGGAAUAUUGGUCAAUGGACGGAAGUCUGAACCAGCCAUGCCGCGUGCAGGAUGAAGCAUCUAUGGUGUGUAAACUGCUUUUGUACGGGAAGAAAAAAAAUUACGUGUAAUGUACUGACGGUACCGUAAGAAUAAGGAUCGGCUAACUCCGUGCCAGCAGCCGCGGUAAUACGGAGGAUCCAAGCGUUAUCCGGAAUCAUUGGGUUUAAAGGGUCCGUAGGCGGCCUUAUAAGUCAGCGGUGAAAGUUUUUGGCUUAACCAAAAAAUUGCCAUUGAUACUGUAGGGCUUGAAUUAUUGUGAAGUAACUAGAAUAUGUAGUGUAGCGGUGAAAUGCUUAGAUAUUACAUGGAAUACCAAUUGCGAAGGCAGGUUACUAACAAUGGAUUGACGCUGAUGGACGAAAGCGUGGGUAGCGAACAGGAUUAGAUACCCUGGUAGUCCACGCCGUAAACGAUGGAUACUAGUUGUUUGGCCGUAAGGUUGAGUGACUAAGCGAAAGUGAUAAGUAUCCCACCUGGGGAGUACGAACGCAAGUUUGAAACUCAAAGGAAUUGACGGGGGCCCGCACAAGCGGUGGAUUAUGUGGUUUAAUUCGAUGAUACGCGAGGAACCUUACCAAGGCUUAAAUGGGAAUUGACAGGCUCAGAGAUGGGUUUUUCUUCGGACAAUUUUCAAGGUGCUGCAUGGUUGUCGUCAGCUCGUGCCGUGAGGUGUUAGGUUAAGUCCUGCAACGAGCGCAACC